rnacentral:rRNA from 1 species
GAUGAACGCUGGCGGCGUGCUUAACACAUGCAAGUCGAACGAAGCACUUUAUUUGAUUUCCUUCGGGACUGAUUAUUUUGUGACUGAGUGGCGGACGGGUGAGUAACGCGUGGGUAACCUGCCUUGUACAGGGGGAUAACAGUUGGAAACGGCUGCUAAUACCGCAUAAGCGCACAGCAUCGCAUGAUGCAGUGUGAAAAACUCCGGUGGUAUAAGAUGGACCCGCGUUGGAUUAGCUAGUUGGUGAGGUAACGGCCCACCAAGGCGACGAUCCAUAGCCGACCUGGGAGGGUGCCCGGCCACAUUGGGACUGAGACACGGCCCAAACUCCUACGGGAGGCAGCAGUGGGGAAUAUUGCACAAUGGGCGAAAGCCUGAUGCAGCGACGCCGCGUGAGCGAAGAAGUAUUUCGGUAUGUAAAGCUCUAUCAGCAGGGAAGAUAAUGACGGUACCUGACUAAGAAGCACCGGCUAAAUACGUG